UUCACUUAUGAAGUAUUUCAAUUGGUCCAUCAAAAUUUAAAUUCCACUUGGUGUGGUUGACCUUAGCACGGCGCUUCAAAGUAUUGAUGUGAAGACUAGAGAGUAGGGGAUCCCUUCAAUCUGUCGUUGUUCCUCUCUGCAAUUGCUCUUUGGAGACUCUUCCCCCCCUCUCUCUCCAAAGAAGAAUGGAGAAACCUGUGGUAAUACUCAUUUUUACAACUGUAAUUAUGAUGAGUCUUGAAUGCUUAGUACAAUCAGAUGCCUCUACACAUCGGUAUAAAAGUGGAGAUGAUGUCCCUUUCUAUGCAAACAAGGUUGGCCCAUUCUCUAAUCCCAGUGAAACUUAUGCUUAUUUCGAUCUUCCAUUUUGUCAACCAGAUAAUUUGGAAAAGAAGAAAGAAUCGUUUGGUGAAGCGUUGAAUGGAGAUCGCCUUACAUUUGCUCCAUAUAAGCUCGAGUUUUUAGCGGACAAAGAUGCCAAAGUUAUAUGUAAGAAAAGGCUGACAAAGGAGGAAGUUGCACAAUUCAGAACCACUGUUGCACUAGAUUACUACGUCCAGAUGUACUAUGAUGACUUGCCAAUAUGGGCGUUCCUUGGGAUGGUCGAAAAGGACGGAAUUGAUGACCCUAAUGAGUACAGAUAUCACAUUUAUACAUUUUAUCAAUUUGAAAUUUACUACCACAAGGACCAUGUUAUUGAAAUCCAAGUUAGAGUCGAUCCAUCUUUUACAGUUGAUGUAACAAAUGAUGAGGAAGUUGAUGUAGAAUUCCUGUACACAGUGGUGUGGAAGGAAACUAACACCCCAUUUGAAAAGAGAAUGGACAAAUACACAAGCUCUUCUUCUCUGCCCCAUCACUUAGAAAUUCACUGGUUCUCCAUUUUAAACUCAUGUGUGACAAUCUUCAUCUUGAUGUCAUGUAUGGGAGCAAUUUACUUGCGAGUCCUGAGGAAAGAUAUUUAUAAUCUUGCACAGGAUGAAGAAUUUUCUGAUAACCAAGAAGAAUGGAACCCAGAUGUUGGCAGUGUCAGUAAUUGUUGAUAUCAUCUUGUUUAAAUAAUGCUUUCUUCAGCACUUGGUUGUGGAACCCAGAUGUUGGCAGUCGUGGUGGUCAUUCUAUGUUUAGGCGUGCUUGGUGUUUUUCAACCGUAUGAUCGAGGAGUUUUGCCCACUGCUUUGGUCAUAAUAUAUGCAAUAACUUCUGCAGUUGCUGGAUUUUCGGCUGCAUCUUUUUAUCAUCAGCUUGAAGGAAGCAACUCGCUAAGAGUUCUAUUACUGACAGGAGGAAUAUUCUCUUGCCCCUUGUUGCUAACCUUUUUCUUCCUUAAUACUGUUGCAUUCAACUAUGGGUCUACUGCAACACUUCCUUUGGGCACAAUUGUGGUUAUACUUCUCCUCUUGGUUUUGCUAGCAUUACCGUCGCUUGUGUUAGGUGCGAUUUCUGGGAAGAGAAUAAGGUCGGAGUUUCAAGCUCCUUGUCACACCACAAAGUGUCCUCGUGAGGUUCCCCCACAGCGUUGGUACAGGCGUGUCAUAACCCAAAUGGCAAUGUCAGGACUUUUGUCUUUUGCUGUCAUCUAUAUUCAGCUAUAUUACAUAUUUGCAAGUGUUUGGGGUCACAGGAUAUACACAAUAUAUAGCAUUCUUUUUGUUGUGUUCAUUCUCCUUCUGAUUACAACUGCUCUCAUCUCUAUUGCUAUGACAUACAUCCAACUUGCCGCAGAAGAUCAUGAAUGGUGGUGGAGGUCUUUUCUUUGUGGUGGAUCGACUGGCUUGUACUUAUUUGGUUAUUCCAUCUACUAUUACUUUUCACAGUCAGACAUGAACGGUUUCAUGCAAACCUCAUUCUUCUUUGGAUAUAUGGCUUGUGUUAGUUAUGGCGUCUUCCUCAUGCUAGGCACUGUUGGCUUUCAUGCCUGUUUGCUAUUUGUCCGUCUUCUGUAUGGCUGUAUCAAAUGUGAAUAGCUGGUUGCUUUCAGGAACAUCCUUUGGAGUAAGUAUGUAUUCAUGCCAUAUUUAGGAGGCUGUUCUGAUCAAAGGAGGUCACAAUGUUCCUUUAAUGUAACAACAAAGAGAUUUUCUUAUUCAAAGUUUCAUCAAUGUUACUUUUUGU